rnacentral:rRNA from 1 species
AGACGGAGGGUGCAAGCGUUGUUCGGAAUCACUGGGCGUAAAGCGCGUGUAGGCGGUUCGACAAGUCGGAUGUGAAAGCCCGAGGCUCAACCUCGGAAGUGCAUUCGAAACUGUCGGGCUAGAGUACGGGAGAGGGAAGUGGAAUUCCUGGUGUAGAGGUGAAAUUCGUAGAUAUCAGGAGGAACACCGGUGGCGAAGGCGGCUUCCUGGACCGAUACUGACGCUGAGACGCGAAAGCGUGGGGAGCAAACAGGAUUAGAAACCCUAGUAGUCC